GUGGUUUUCACUGUCGCCUCGCAGCAAGAAGGUCCUGGGUUCUCCGCCCAGAGGCCUUUCUGUGAGGAGUCUGCGUGGGUUCUCCGGGUUCUCCCUCCCGUAGUCCAGAGACCUGCUCUGGGGACCAGGUUGUUGGGGACUGGCCCGUAGCUCCGGUUUGUCUCCCCCUGUGGUCGGAGGAGGAACUACGCGAUCACCGUGUGGGCCGUGAAGUCACAGCUGCUGAUUGCUCGCACGGCUUCCUGCGAUCAGAUCAUCCAGGCUGCUUUUCUCCUGCAGACUGACCAUGCAGCCACCUCACAGCCCCCAGGGUGCCAUUCUCUCCUUUAGCUGGAGGUAACGGUCAUAGAGACACCUCUCUUCCUCGGCAAAUAGACUCCCGCAUCCUUUUUUUGGUCAUUAUGGAGCUUUUAUCCCGGCUGUAAUGUGAGAUGAUGGGGAAUCGUAGAGUUAUAAUAACCUGCGCAGGUAUUUACCGACCUUGAGAACUCAUUCAUUUCAUUUCAUCCUUUUUUCAUAAACGCCGGUGGAGGUUUGAGUCUUCCCCUCUCUCGUAGUAUUCGAUGUACUAUUCUCACAUGAGGGUCCUUAGAGCUUCAUGUGAACCAGCAGGGGGCGCACUAAAGAAGAACAACCUCACACUGUGUACUGUCGCGCGCCCUGUGACGUCAUGAAUACAUCAUGACGACUUGACGGAUGAAUAUCCUGUAAACUAUUUGCUGAAGAAUAAGCAAAGUCCUGUUUCUAAAGCAUCCAGAAACUAAUCUGGCUUUUGAAUCUGUUUUUUUAACGUUUUUAUGAGUCAACAAGCUGUCUGAAAGAAUCAGGAGAGAAAGUUUCACACAUACAAUACAUUUAAAACUGGUUUCAGCCUUGAGUUUAUUGACUUAAUUUGAUGAUUUAAACACAUACUGUUGAGUUGGUGUAUUUAUUCCUUUAAUGAAUUCAGUUCUGAGUUUAAAUGAGAUUUUAAAAAUAUUUGCUGUUUCUUUAUCAUGCGCUAAUUUCCAUGGAAACGUCUUUAUUUCUAUAAACUUCACCAUGAAAUACGUCGUCUUUAAUUACAUCGCAGUGAAUUUGUCCUGCGGGGAAACAAAACUAUAAAAGAAUGACCGAUCAUUAUUAAAAUAACUUAAAAUAAAUAUUUAAUGUACUAAGAGGGUAAACAGCAG
ensembl:lncRNA